AUGAACGCUGGCGGCGUGCCUAAUACAUGCAAGUCGAGCGAACGGACGAGAAGCUUGCUUCUCUGAUGUUAGCGGCGGACGGGUGAGUAACACGUGGAUAACCUACCUAUAAGACUGGGAUAACUUCGGGAAACCGGAGCUAAUACCGGAUAAUAUUUUGAACCGCAUGGUUCAAAAGUGAAAGACGGUCUUGCUGUCACUUAUAGAUGGAUCCGCGCUGCAUUAGCUAGUUGGUAAGGUAACGGCUUACCAAGGCAACGAUGCAUAGCCGACCUGAGAGGGUGAUCGGCCACACUGGAACUGAGACACGGUCCAGACUCCUACGGGAGGCAGCAGUAGGGAAUCUUCCGCAAUGGGCGAAAGCCUGACGGAGCAACGCCGCGUGAGUGAUGAAGGUCUUCGGAUCGUAAAACUCUGUUAUUAGGGAAGAACAUAUGUGUAAGUAACUGUGCACAUCUUGACGGUACCUAAUCAGAAAGCCGCGGCUAACUACGUG
rnacentral:rRNA from 1 species